UAAUGGUCUUAAUGUGCACAAAUCAUCAGUGUAUUUUAAUAAACACAAAACAAGUUUGGCUUUAAUCAAAAAGCAUUACCUUGAUCUUUUUAGAUUACAUCCCAGUCACAAAUCCUCCUGAAACACAGGUGUCUGAGGACCAUGAGGGGAGAAGUCCUGUACAAACCACUGUAAACUCACAUUCAGGUCAUUAUGAUCAUCCACACAUCUCGCCACAGUAUUCAAACUCAUUCAGUGAUCCUAAUGAACCUGCGGAAGUGGACAAGAUCAAUAUCAUUGUCAAAUGUACUGGACGGACCAUGCAAAUUGACAUGUUCCCACUGGAAAGCAUCUCAGUUUUACUAAAGGAGGCCUGUGACCAGGCAGGGAAGAAACCAGAGAAAAUGUCACUUGUUUAUGAAGGAAACUGUCUGGAUGUGAACAAGACAGUGAUCCAGUAUAGACUACGAAGAGGAACCACUGUACAUUUGAUUCAUGCCUAGAAAUCAUGUCUAAGGAAAAGGUUUAUAUUUACCAUAUACAAGUACACUACAUAAAACAUUGUCUGAACUCAGUAACUGUAUUAUUAUUAGUACUA